rnacentral:lncRNA from 1 species
UCCUAGUUGGGCCUGGGCACCUGCCCAGAACUUCUGAGCGGAGCGUUGUUCACAUGCCACUCAUUCUUGGCAGGCGAGAUGCAGAAGGCAUCGGUCUGUGAGCAUCAUCUCUCCUCUGCCGCCUGCCAAGGUUUAGACAGGACGUCUUUCUUCCCAGAGAAUGAGGGCAUCUUCCCAGCCGAUCUCCCAUCACCUGGACAGAUGAGGAAACCAAGCCACAGAGGUUUAAGCAACUUGCCGAAGGACACCCAGCUGAGAGGUGGUAUCAAUAGAACUUGAGCCUAAGCAGUGUGGCUCCAAAGCUCAUGUGUUGAGCCCUCAAGGCACAGAGUCAACCCUGGUACUGUGCACCUGGGCCCUCAGUCACCUCUGCUGGGAAGCUCUUUGGAAUUUACGGAAUGCCUUUCUGCAGCAUUCUGUCUUAUUUGCGUGACUGAGGAGGAUUUUGCCACUGAUGUCCUGUAUUUCAACAAAGCGUCCUGCUUGCAUUUUCUUUCACCUGCUUUGCAAUUGUUUAGUAAUACUUAAGUGCCAGGCUCUGGGUUAAGCACUUUAUGAAGCUUUCCACACAAUACCUGGGUUAGUUCCCUGACACUCUGUGAGGUGAGGGCUAUCACCUUUCCUACUUCACAGGGGGGCAUCUGAGGCCCCGUGAGGCUAAAUAGUUUACCCAAGGUCACAGGGAGAUGGAGUGAGCCAGAGGACAUCCGCUUGUGCCCUACUGAGGCCGGGGCUCCCCAAAACUCUGCAGUCCUGCCUCCCUCCAUGGGAGAUUCAGUACAAACCAAAUAGCCACCCAGAAAUCAACAGUGUUGACUUCCCCACCAAGAUGUGAUCCUUUAGCUUUGCUCUCUGAGGCCUUGAUGGGUUUUCCACAAAGACCCUCCUCUUCCCCAGGGUCUCCUUUCUCUCCCCCAUUCUUCAGAGACCUCCACAACAAAUCACUGCUUGGGAGCCAGUAACAAGAAUGCCAAUUAUUGUUCCAUGAACCAAGUGUAAAGUGGGGGCUUUCUGAUGGGAAAAGCAAGACUUAGAGCAAGUUUCUCAUCUCUGUGACUUUAACAUAUUUCCUACAUUUUUAGCAAAAUUAUAGAGGAUAGUUCCUUUUGGAAUCUUUUGAGCAGCCUCCAUUUUAAUUCGAGAUGGCAAAUUCAUCCACAUGUUAAACUUGAGCGACAGACCUGCCUUCUCUUUUAGAAUUAAUUCCAGUUUGGUCAAAAGCAACACUCUCUUCAAAAGUUAGCUUGGAGCCAAUGAACAGAGGAAAAGAAAAUGUUCAAGUGGUCUACUUAAACAAGACCUCGCUCCAUCCCACCAAUUAAAGAGAAAUUAAAACGGCUUCCAACUAGAACUUUAAAUGCCUCUGAAGGGGAAUUUCUGAAGAAAAAACCUUUGCCGUUCGAGAUACUUGUUAAAGAUAUCACAGUCUUCAAUCUCAAGGGUCCCUGGAUUCCCAAAAUCUUUGAUCAUCUAAAUUUAGCUGUUUUCAUAAACAUUUCAGACAGCAGGCUAAUUUUUAUUCCCUGGAGAGCCUCAUGCACUCAGACUGCAAGUCCAGGAAGAAUGUCAACUUUUAAGAACUAGUCAAAGCCUCGCUAAGACUAAGAGCCAGAUACCAGCUAUUCGGCUGACUUUAAAUCUGUGUCAUUACUCACUGUCCCUUGAAGAGGAACAUAAAAUUUUACUAUAUGCUGCUUGUAAUUCAACAAAUAAUUACUCAGCAGGUGAUGUGGGCAAGGCCUCCUCACAGGGUGCUGUGAAGGAAGCAGAGAUGAGCAGGCCUGGCUGCUGCCACUGCAGUCCAGCAAAACAAAGAACAUACAAUCCUACCAAUCAGGUUGCAGGUUGGUGCAAAAGUAAUUGCAGUUUUUGCCAUUACUUUUAAUAACAAAAACUGCAAUUACUUUUCCACCAAUGUAAUAAUAAGUGUGAAUGUGUGAGUGUAUGUGUGCAUGUGUGCACAUGUGUGUGUGUGUGUGUGUGUGUGUGUGUGUGUGCGGGUGCAUAUGCAUGCAUGCUUGUGAGAGGCAGUACACUCCAAGGACAAUUUGUUGGAAAAUAUGUCAUUGAAUCUGAGAUAUAAAGAAUGGAUAGAACUAUGGGUAAUUUUUCUGUCUUUCCAUUUUCCGUCUUUAUUGCUGGCAACUUGUUUAUGUGAUUAAUAAUAAUAAAGCAGAGAAAAAUGGGGAGGAGGUGAAGGCCAGUGUGUUCCGAGAGUACCAUGAAAGUGUAGGCCUGGAGGCUGGAAAUCCCAAGGCGGAUCAUUUAGAAAACAAUAUGCUGCUAAUAUCUCUUUUGUUUUGAAAACAAAUUCAUGACUGUGCACCUUUAUUUAGUAGCUGUAUGAUGUUUGCCCACACAGAUUUCUACUGCUACCAAUAAAAUGAUCUUUUACUAAGUCCUAGGAUAAUAGCCAAGAGCACCUGCCCUGGAGUCAGCCUGUAUGGCCGCAUGAGUUUGGGCAGGUCAUUUAAUCUUUUGAGCUUCAAUUUCUCAUAUUUGAUUUCAGAAUAGUAGUAGUACCUGGCUCAUAGAGUCAUCAAGAUGAAACGAGAUCACCUCUCUAAAAAAUACCUUGUCCAUUGCACACAGUAAAUGUUCUGUGAAAGUCCACAGUUGUUUCAACAUCUAGGGAGGAUCCUUUCAGCCCAUGUCUUCUUGGAGCUACUGAUCUGACCAUUUUGACCUAGUGGAUGGUUUUUUUUAACCAUAUAGUUUAAUAAAGAUGGACCACAAUACCCAUAUGUCCAUCACAUCACUUUAUCUUACCACUUUCUGUUACCCAGGCUUAAUCUUCUUGAAAGCAGAAUCUAGGCAUGCAGAUGAGAAAAUUGGCUCAGACCCUGUCUCCCAGUGGAGAGAUGUAGUAUCCAGCUAAAUCCUAGAACUUCUGACUUGAAUCCACUUCUUUUCCCAGUAUUUGAUACAAUCUGUUAAAUGUCUUAAUGUCAUGAAUGUGUUAAUGAGGAUUCAUUUUGUGGCAGAAGCAGGAAUCAGAACUGUGUCGUCCCCUAUGAUGAAACGUCCACUCUAGACUGCUCCUUCGAGGCAGGACUUAGAGGUCAAAAGGAUGCGACACAUCUGGUUUCUGGUCAUCUCAUGCUUUUCUUGUGGCUUCAUCCUCAGUCUGCACAUGGCUGGAAAAGCCUCCAGCAUCCCCAAACCUAUGUUUCAGGAGGCAUCCUGUGCUCAGUCCUGCCUUGGGGUCAUGAGUCCAUGCUUGAUGGGAUUAUGACAAUUAGCCAAGACAAGGUCACAAGUCACCAUCAACAAACCCCUUGGAGAAGGGUGUGAGGACUCUGCUUGGUCAAGAACAGGUCACUCAUUUCACCACGCAUCCAUCCCAACCACACUGAGCACAGAAGUGGGGCUGCUUCCACAGAGGUCAUUCAGGAUUCUGUUACCAGAAGAAAAGACACUGGGCAAGCCAAGUCAGCAUUUGUCCACUGAGGAAUUGCCCAUUACUAGAUAAUAGAGGAGAAAAUUAUUUUCUGGCUAACUGAGAGUUACACAUAGAUUCCCCUAUUUUCUUUCUUUCUUUCUUUCUUUCUUUCUUUCUUUCUUUCUUUCUUUCUUUCUUUCUUUCUUUUUUUUUUUUUUUGAGAGGGAGUCUCACUCUGUCACCAGGCUGGAGUGCAAUGGCACGAUCUCAGCUCACUGCAACCUCUGCCUCCCAGGUCCAAGCCAUUCUCCUUCCUCAGCCUCCCAAGUAGCUGGGAUUACAGGUGCUCACCACCAUGCCCAGCUAAUUUUUGUAUUUGUAGUAGAGAUGGGGUUUCACCAUGUUGGCCAGGAUGGUCUCAAUCUCUUGACCUCAUGAUCCGCCCACCUUGGCCUCCCAAAGUGCUGGGAUUACAGGCGUGAGCCACUGCGCCUAGCCAAAUCCCCCAUUUUCAAAUCACCAGAAUGUAAUAAAGUAGACUUCAAGGGUCACAUCACAAGAUGCCCCCAAUUUCUUAACCCGAGGGUUAACCUUGUGCACAUCUAUCCUUACUGUGAUGAACCUAAUCCCAUCUUUCCUAUUGUAAUGAGCUGAAAGAGUGGUCCAUAGAGGACCAUAACGAUGGAAGUGUUGGAGACAGUGGUGACUAGGACCACCACGAAAAGUCCUCCAAUAGUUACAGAACCCAAGCAUGGGUUCUCUAACCCAUACUGGAUUAGAGAAAAGUCCAAAGGGAGACAGGCUAACUAUCUCCUAAUAUGUGAGGGGCUGUCAUGUAUGGGGGAAACAUAUUGUUAAUUCAAUAUUCCAUUUAGAGGUAACAUUCCAUCGAAUGGGUGGAAGUUAUCAGAAGGCAGGUUUUGGCUCAACAGUGGUAUAGUGAAUGCUUGUUGAUUUUGCUCUCCAGCAUGCAUUCUUCCUUUUUCUGGUAAUGGCACCCUGAUUUUGUUCUUCGGAGACAUUUUCUCCAUUCUCAUUUCAUGUAGUUUGAGCAGCUUCCGUACCCACCUUCAAGAAAGUAGCCCGUGAUGGAGGUUUAGCCAGUCAGCUUAAUGCAUGCUCAGGCCACAGGCCCUGGCUGGUGGUGGCAGUCACUUUCUGUAUCCCUCAGCCCACCUGUGGUUUCUGCUGAGCCAGGGCACCCAGUUCCUAGGACCCUGGUAGUAUCACGCUCAAGCACCUGCUGUGACCCCCUGCUUUUCUGCCUCAGGCCUUUAUCUGAAGCCUACCCCCUGACCCUAGCACAUCCCAUCUGAAUUCAGCCCAGAGUGGGGAGGUGGAAGGGAGCAAAUGCCUCCAAAAAUGAUCUUCAACCAGUGGAGACAGGAGAUGGGGUGUCAAUGAGCCAUCACAUCUUGUCCUUCUAGGGGGCAUUCUACACAAUUUCUGAGGGACCCCGGUAGGGCUGAGCCUCAUUUGUUCAUAGCAGUAACCAGUUUCAUUAUAUAUCUUUUAUUGACUUUCCCUCUUUCCCUGGGCUCACCUUCCACAUUAACUGCUUGUACUCAAAUCUCAAUCUCAGGCUCUGUGGGUGAGUGGCAGGUGGCACCCAAAUGAAGUCAUUGGGAAUUGAUAUGUUAUCCAGUUUGGGCCAGUGAGAGAACAAAAACUCCCAAGAAUUAGAAGGGAGCCAUUGGUGUGGUGUCAUAAAAAAAUGAGUCUGAAUUUGCCAGAGACCACCAAGCAGAUCCAGAGGACAAAGCCAAGUAGAAGGAAACAGAGCUGAGAUGAAGCUUGGUGAUAUCCUUUGAGCCCUGAAUCAAGCCUCACCUGAACCCUACUUUACCUGGAAUCUUGAAAGUUAUGUAACCCAGUAAAUUCCUCUUUUAGCUCAAUUAACUGAAAGUGGAGGGGAUUUUUUCUACUCCACUUUCAACCAAAAGAUUCUGAACUAAAACCACAAAGAAAUAAGUUUCCAACCAUUAGCGCCGCCUCACAGUCAAUAAGGUUGCCUUGAAAAGUAUUGAGCUCCCCAUAAUUGAAGAGAUCCAAGCAGAACACAAUAAAACAUAUAUCUAAUGUGCUGGAGAAGGUUUCUCCUUCUACACUAAGUUUGUUUUAGGGGCUUAGGAGGCAAACUACACAAAUUCCAAGAUCCAUUUCAACUCUAACGUAUCGGAUUGACUAAUAAAAAUGAAUAAAUUGAUUCAACACCUCUCUGGCUAAGAGGUGACCAGUGACAGUGUUUCCAACUUUGGCCUUACUCAUCACACUGUAAUAUGGUUUGGCUACGUGUCCCCACUCAAAUCUCAUGUUAAAUUUGUAAUCCCCGGUGUUGAGAGGGAGGGACACAGUGGGAGGUAAUUAAAUCAUGGGAGCAGAUUUCCUCCUUGCUGUUCCUGCGAUAGCGAGUGAGUUCUCACAAGAUCUGGCUGUUUGAAAGUGUACAGCUCUUCCGCCUUCACUCUCUCCCUCUCCUGCUGGCCAUAUGAAAAUGUGCUUUGCUUCCGCUUCACCUUCUGCCACGAUUGUAAGUUUCCUGAGGCCUCCCUAGAAGCAGAAACCUGUACAGCCUGCAAAACCAGGAGCCGAUUAAACCUUUUUUCUUAGUCUCAGGUAUGUCUUCAUAGCAGUGCAAAAACGGACUAAUACACACUGCUUGCAUAGUAUUAAACAAUCACAUUUCAUUAAUAUGAUUAAUGAUUAAUCAUUGUUUCCCCUGCCAUCUCCCUACCCUCUGACAAUUUGGAUCACUGAUACUUAUUUAAAGCUUUUCUUUUCAGAAUUGCCUAAAUGCUACAUUCUCUACCUGUAUCAGAGGGUUGACAAGACAAUCAGCACACUCAGUGGUAAUAUCAGGUCCCAAAAAGAGACAUUCUCACUGAGGAGGAAUCAGUCAACCCCAGAGGCAGCAAGAAGGAUUCACAGCUUUCUGGUUACUAAAAUAAGGACUACUUUUACUCAGGACAAGCCUAAUUAUUAUUUUGAUGGCAGAAGGUUCAGAUAUGUUAUCCACAGGCUCACAGAUCUCCUCCCUCCACCCCAAAAGACCUGCUCCCACAAGACAUGCUACAUUAAUAUUUAUUUUUUCAGAAACAGCAUGCAUUAACAAAAUGAAUAAAGCAGCAGGAAGUAAGUGGUCUCAGAAUUUUUUUUAAUAAUAAAAAAAUCAGCUUAUUAAUGGUGAAAAUAUACCAACAGGCACUUGUUUUGAAGAAAGAUGUUCAACCUUGCAUACAGAAGGAGCUGCCUGGCAUGGUUAGCGGGAACACACUACAGAUGGGAGUGAAGUCCCCACUGAUGGCUGGAUGGAGGGGCCCCCAGCCACCUGCCCUCCCCACACAUUUGGAAGGAGAGACCACAAUACCAUGCUCAGAGCUACAUAAAUGAAAAAAAGAAAGAGGAGAGAGGCGAUAGCCCUUAACAUUUUUGGCCCAAGGAAAGAAGGUUUUAAUCAGAAAGCGCUAAUUCACUUAUGGUCAGCAGAAAGAUAAUAAGAGACAGACUUACUGACUGUUGUAAAAUGUAAUUGAUUAGGGUUUCUGAAUCUUAUUCAUUUUUUAAAAUGUUCUAUCUUGUAUUAUGUAUGCAGGUUGCUGGCUAUAUUUGUUCACUUCUCUCAAUUAUCUGCAUACAGAAAAUGUGACAAGGGCUGCUUUUCUUUUAAUUUACUCUUGUGAUCAAACGAGUUUCAUCCAUCAGGCAGCAGAAUCGUGAAAUGAUUUCCUUUACACAAAUACCAGUGUUUCAGUAAACUCACAAAUGGAUAGGAACGUGCAUAUAACCUCUCUCUCUCUCGCUCACUCGCUCACUCACUCUUCUCUCUCUCCCACAUCCCCUGCCCUGUUUUUCCAUGUGAUGGCUCCCUUUUCCUGUGGGCUGCUGGGAAAAUGGACAAUGGACAAGUGUAACACCCAUCACGAGAAGAACAUGGAGAAUAUGGACGAGUGGCACUGAGUGAGCCCCAACAAGGUGCCUUCCCCCAAGACUCAUCUGAGCUCUGCAAAGACGCAGCACAGCCCCACAGAUGGGCAGCCAACCAGGAGCCCAUCCCUCUUGCCAAUUCUCCCACUGGAAAGUGGAGGAUUCAGGGGAGGAAUCGGGUGGGAGGCACAGGGCAGUUUGGCCUUUCACAUCCCAUUUAAUUAGGCCUGAUGCUUGAAGGAAUAUCCCUGAACUUGGCUGAUGGAUAAGAAAAAGCUGACAUAUUUGGGCUAGACUUUUAGGCUUGGCAGAGUGUUCACUCCAUAGGGGCACAGGGAUCGAGUAUCAGAGGGAAAGAAGAGCACAAAGCUGGGGUCCAAAGACCAAAAGUGUGUCCGGCUUCUGUAUUAUCUGGCCUCCAACUAAACAUUCCCUUUCAUGCCUUCCUCUCUAGGCACAAAGACCCAUUCAACUGUGAAGCAACUUCAAUAAAUUCAACUCCACUGAUAGGGUACCAUGUGAGUCCCUAUGUGCUGGACUCUGUUCUGAGCAGUGGGCUACCAAGAUAAACAAAGAAAAAUCAGUGCCUUUUAGGAGGCCUUGGUUGAGCAAGGGAAGUGAGUCCAUAAAUAAAUAAUUAGAGAACAAAUGCAUCCACUUUAUUACCUGCUAGGCUUAUGUUAAAAUUCCCUUAAAGAUGGAAUGGCUUCUGUUAAGGCAAUUCAUAUCUCUCAAAAAUUGUACUUCUAGCACCGGGGCUUUAUGAACCAAAUUAAUGAUCAGAUGGGUUGAAGGGUUGAAGAUGAAAAUGGAGAUUUCCUGACGCUAUGGUUAAUGUGUGACAUCUAUUCUGGGGUGGCUUCCAGUCUCAGCUCUCCAAAGACAAAAAGACAAUAAACAGUGAGGACACCUAUUAUGGGCUGGAAUAUGUCCCUCCUCACCCCCCAAAUUCAUAUGUUCAAGUCCUAACCCCCAGUAUCUCAUAAUGUGACUAGAUUUGGAGAUAGGGGCUUUCAAGAGAAAAUUAAGCCUGUUUGGGUGAUCCCUAAUCCAAUAUGAUUGGCGUACUUCUGAGAAGAGGAAAUUUGGGCACACAAAGAGACCACAGGGGUACACAGAGAAACAGCCAUGUGAAGAGGCAGCAAGAAGGCCGCUGUCUGCAAGCCGAGGAGAGAGACCACAGGAGCAACCACCCCUCUGCAAGUGUCUUGAUCUUGGACUUCCAGCCUCCAGAACCCAGAGAAAAUAAAUGUUGAUGGUUUAAGCCACCCAGUCUGUAGGAUCACUAUGGCAGUCCUAGCAAACUAACACAGCAUGACUCCCUCUUAGCAAACUAACACAGCAUGACUCACUGAGCUGAUCUCCCCACUUGGCUGCCCAUGGAGAGGCCUUCAUGCCAGCCUCAGGCACCAGCACCCCUUGGUGGCAUUGUGCACCAAAGCACAAAGAUGGUGCAGUACCACCUUAUCCCCUGAGAAACUGCUUUGCCCCCAAGCACACAAAAAGGGAGCUCCUGGCCUCCUGAUUUUCACAGACUGAGCACUGAGCUCACUGCCCCACUGGCUCACUUCACUGAGCUCUGCCUAACCUUGGACUUUUCUACUCCAAUCCCACUCAGCCUCCUGGGACCUUCAGAUUUGACAUUCGGCAUCGUCUUGUAAACUUGGACUCUGACUCCCUCUUGCCCUCAAAUCCCAUUCAGUGUUGCCAGGACCACCUGGUCCUCCCAGCAUCGUGAGUGGACCCAGGGACCUCACAACAUUCCCACACUUCCUCAAAUCUCUCUUCACUCCAGACAGAACAACCCCACGAGCCAAGUGCCCACGUCUCCUCUCUGCCAGGGUGUCCCUAGCACCGACUCAAAGCACCAACUCAAAGCCUGGCACACAGUGUGGGCUUCAUAUACCUCUGGUGACCAAAUUCGCAGACUGGAUACAGACACAAGGAACAGCCUUUCUCUCGUAACCCCAUGCAUUCUCUCAAAGCAAGACUCCAGAAUCAAGUGAAAGCAUUUUAGAUUUAUUUAGAGUGUUAUCUGUUAUCAAGGAUGACGGGGGAAGGUUGGAGGACGCCGGAGCACUUCUGAGCACAUACAGCUAUAGAGGAAGGCAGAGCCACUGCUAAUUUCCCAAGUGGGAAAUACCCUGUCCCCAUUAGCGUUGGAUUUCCUGGCCUCCUGGCUUUACCACGGCUCCAGUGUUAGGUGAACCUUUAUUUUUAUAUUGCACAGAACACACACUCAGACCAAAAAAAAAAAAAAACAACAGUAAAGGGGUAUGCUUUUUCUCAGCUAUUGGAAAACAUAUAUAGGCUUCAUGGAUCCUACAUUACCUCUAAAAUUGUUUUCAGAUCUGGCCUGUCCUAUGUUAAAUCGCUCCCUCAUUUUUCUUUUUAUGUGCAGCCUUCAUUGUGAAACAGUUUUUGCAUCUGGACAAUGAAAUUGAACUUGCCUAAAGGGCAAGAAACAACGUAUAAUCAUAAAUUGAAAACUUCUCAGUUGGAAAGAAGUCACUGGAGGCAAACAGAUGAUGGGAAACUUUUGUUUUGUUUUGUUUGAGAUGGAGUCGCAUUCUGUCACCCAGGCUGGGGUGCAGUGGUGUGAGCUUGGCUCACUGCAACCUCCACCUCCCGGGUUCAAGCGAAUCUCCUGCCUCAGCCUCCUGAGUAGCUGGAAUCACAGGCGCCUACCACCAUGCCUGGCUAAUUUUUGUAUUUUUAGUAGAGACGGGGUUUCACCAUGUUGGCCAGGCUUGUCUUGAACUCCUGAUCUCAAAUGAUCUGCCCACCUUGGCCUCCCAAAGUGCUGGGAUUACAGGCGUGACCCACCGCACCUGGCCAAUGGUGGGAGACUUUUAAGAUUUAGGUAGUUACAUCAUCAUUCUCCAAGACCCAGCAUGAGCAGUCCAAGGAGGAACAUCAGAUCAGGAGUCAGAAGACCCAAGGUUGAUUGACAACCCCACCCCUUCAAAGCUGUGUGACAUUGGGGAAAUCACUUCACCUCUCUGAUUGUCCUUAUUUUUUUUUAUUAUUAUCAUACUUUUGCAUUUGUAAAAUAAAAGUGAUAUUUAUGCCAUGUCUGUCAUUAGGUCAUUGUAAAAUUCAAAUGAGACCUUUGCUAAAAUGCACCACUCUGUACAAGUAAAGGAAACAUACCAGGAAAGAACAUCUGAAGCUUGGAUUUAGAUUCCCAGUCUGCCAGUGAAUACUUCUGUGUCUGUGGGCCUGAGGUAUCACUUUCUCCUUUUACACUUCCGUUUC